rnacentral:rRNA from 1 species
UACCAGCACCCCGAGUGGUCGGGACGUUUAUUGGGCCUAAAGCAUCCGUAGCCGGUUCUACAAGUCUUCCGUUAAAUCCAACUGCUUAACAGGUGGGCUGCGGAAGAUACUAUAGAGCUAGGAGGCGGGAGAGGCAAGCGGUACUCGAUGGGUAGGGGUAAAAUCCGUUGAUCCAUUGAAGACCACCAGUGGCGAAGGCGGCUUGCCAGAACGCGCUCGACGGUGAGGGAUGAAAGCUGGGGGAGCAAAUGGG